UGAGCGCUGCGGCCUGGCUGUGCGACAGCCUGUCAGAAACUUCCCACAGCACAAAACGCCCUUCUUACACUCCCCUACUGAGGACGGGCACAGCAUUAGCUGGUUUAUUUAUCUGUGUGUGCUUCAGAGGGAUGGAGGUUUACAGCCGAAGAGUAUGUUCAUGUUGUCAAAAAGCUUUCUUGUUUUUCUAGGCUGCAGGACAGUGUUUUAGCCUCUGUUCCAGUGUUUUAGUUUGAAUCCAGAAUGAUGUUACGACCCAAGCGCCACAGGGUGGUCUCAGAGCACACAAAAUUGUUUCUCUAGGGUGAGAUCAGGAAAUCCACGUGCAAGAAACACCGGAGAAGGUCACACUCUGAACACGUCUGCUGCAGCUGCUAAGGCCCUGAGACCCCAAGCCAAGAUUUGAGACUUGACUGAAGAAACAUCUCCCAAAGCUAUCAGUGUGGAUACUCUUGGCUCCAGCUGUUUCACUGCUCAUUCAGGCUGUGAUAAAUGUUCAUUUUCACAUAGCCUAAACUCACUGUAGUGCCAGCUGAUGGAGAUAGUGGCCCAUAGGAGAAAAUGAAUGCCUCCAGUUUUGAUACUUGCCUUUGAUCCAUAGGUGAUGUGCAUAAACCCCAUAGUGAUGAAAGGCUUCUGCUUUCCAUACACACGGAGGCAGUGUGGGCAUCUUGCUGACUGUGCCACUUGUAAUUUGUUCAGAGAAGAGAUUCAGGAAACAAAUUCUGUUUUUUCUCCGUUGUUUCACUUUUAUGGCACGGUCUCAGGCUUACCACAGACUCAGGCAGGUGUAUCUGUGUGAGUUAUGCUGAAUUAUGCCAGUUUUGAAGGCUUUUUUUCACCCCUACCUUAAGCUUGUUACCAUUCCUCUUUUAAAUCCAAAGCAAAAGCUGUGGAGACACAUUGAGAAAUUUGUUCUCAUCUUCACUCCUUUGAAAAAAGCCCUCAGAGAUAUACAAAAUGGCGAUGCUUUCAUUCUGCAAGUUGGCAUCACUUACUAACACUGAUUUUUUUGUUAUAGUCAACUCUCAAAUAUGAUAUUUCUGGAAAUGAAAGUUUUAGUUGCUGGGUAGAAGAGAGUUAAUAAUCCUGAAUUUAUUUAAAGGUUAUGUUUUCUGUAUUCAUGUAAAAUUAUACUCAGUGGUGCAUAGAGAUGAGUGGUAAAAUCUGUGAAGCCUCCAACAACUUGGUGAGUGGGCAUCCAACACCUCCUUGCUAGAACAUAUUCCAGGAGCAUUGCAAAAUACAUUUAAGGUAAUUUGCAAAGUCUAAAAUCCUGGAAGCAGGAACUACCAAGUUUGGGCUUCCUGUGUUACUUUCACUCUUGCUGAGCUGUCUGCUGCAGUCAUGGCUGGGGAAAGGAUUUAAUGUGAUUUUUCUGCGCCUGUGCUGCCAAUGCUGCAAGGAGGAUGUAGUGAUGUUUCCCAGAAAACUGUGAUUCCAGCCUACCCCAACUUCUUCAGGUGUCUGACUUCUUUACUGUAGCUCUUAAUCCUUCAGUUGAGGGUCUUUGGGUGAGAUGUCAUUGUGCUUUCACGGAAAAAUUGAAAUAAGCAGUAAACCAAAAAUUUCCAUAAGAAUUCCCCAGGAUUGCUUAUGUGCUGAAAAGCAAUCAUGUUCAUGAAACAUUUGAAUUUAACCUUGUUUUUAUUCUGUGAACAAGAUUUUUAUUUGAAACAACACUGAAUGACAUUUUAUCAAAUGAUAGUUUCAUUUAACUAUUACUCUGCUUUCUAUCUAGGUAUUUUGAAGGACUGUAGAAAACCUGGAAAGGAGUCCUGUCUUAAAAAUUUUACUUAAAUAGUUGUGCUUCAUUGUUUAACUGGGUAUCUUAUCAAGAUGGCUUUGACUUGCUGGAAAAAAUGAGUAAAGAAUACUGUCAUUUUUCAAAAUGUUUUGUUUUUAGUGAAUAUAAGUUGCCAAUGAAAUGUUGCCCUCUGAGCCUAAUUUGUAAUAGUUAAGGAUAUGUGACACAGAGCUUGUUUUAAAAAAUGUUUUUUAUGUUUUAUUCUUAAAGAUGGAUUGAAGGAAAUAUGUUGAAGGCAAGUUGUGCCAGCAGUGCUUAACCUGCCAGUAUCUUGGAGAUUAUUUCUGCUGGCUUUCUGGGCCUUUUCAGUGUGAUCCUUGAAAAUGCUAAUUAAUUUCAGGAUUGCUGUGUGUGUGAUAUGCUUUGACAUACACAGCAAAUUAAUAAUAAUAUAAUAAUCUUUCUAAAAGAAUUUUGAGAGCAAUUUAUAGUUCAUGCCAGAUGUCAGUUGACUGAGUAAUUUAACACACUUGUGUAACUGAAAAGUAAUAGCUUUUGCGAGCCUGCCAUGCUGCUUAUGGAUAAGAAUGACAAAAUUUAUGGGUUUUUAGCUAUGUGCAUAAUCCGAAAACAUUCCCUCCCUCUUGCAGGGAAUAAGCAGUACCAGAAGUGAAUGUGUUUUAAUCAUCUGAAACAUAUAGCCCAAAUGCUAUUUUAUUUGUUCAAACCAGGAAAAGACAUAAUUCCUCUAAAGGAAGUGCUGUGAAUGCAAGACCAAGAAAAUUGCUCUUGUCCUAUCAGUAGCUGCAGAGACCACAUCUCCAUAAAAGUCGUUAAAGCAGCAAAGACAGCACUGUCAGCUUAGAAAUUGUGCUAGAAGAUACACUAAGCCUCUGGCCCCAGAGUCCAAAGUAAUUCUUCCUAUGUUUGUGCCCAGUGUUAUGCCCCUGAAUCUCGCAGGUUUUAGAUUUAGAUGUGACCCAGGGGUUCAGGGAAACCAUCAGGAUCCACCUUUCCAGACUUGAGCUGCCUGGAAACCAUUCAACCUGACAUGGAGUUCCUCUAGAGCAGAUAGAGAGAGACAGGCAGCUCUGGGAGCAGGUUCUUCCCCAAAAGCCCAUUUAAUGAAACUUUAAUGAAGAGCAGUCCUUAUGGCAAUCUUGGGCUUCGUGUGUGUGGGAGGAAUAUUGGAUCAACGUCAUCUGUAACAUUUUUAGCUUGGGAUUUUUAUUGGUAUGUUAAUAGAAGGUCUGUGUUUGCCAUCUACUUUUGUGGCAGUGCCACAAACUAAAUGCAUUUUCUCAAGAGACAAGGACUUGCCAAAUGCUGCCUUUGUCACAAGAGAGUCUACAUGAGAAGCUACAACAUCAGACUAACCAUAGCUGCAGUGUCUUGGGGCUUUUUCCCUUCUGAGAGGAGGGAGGCUGUGUUAGGUUUGAGAAGACUGUAGCAGCAAGUCUGCAGGAGGAAGAUGCUCUCUUGGGUGUGUGUAUGUCUGUAUGGCAGCUCACCCCCCCUGCUACACUCUCCCCAGUAAUGUAUGAGAAGUAAAUUUUUUUCUCCUCUGAUCUGAAACAACGAUGAAUUUGGAAAUCUUAGCACUUUUUUUUUUUUGUAAACUUUCCUUCUGGCCAGCUUUCCUUUAUUAAAUUAACAAAUUUAUACCAAAUAGGGAGCCCUGAAGUUGGCUAGAGAUGUCCCUAAGAUCACCAUUGCCAUUAUAAAGCUAAAAAAUCUAAAAAAAAAAAGAGGAUAAAUCCCUUUUGUAUAGCUCUGUAAGCAGCUCUGCUUGCUGGUUAGAUUUACAUAUCAAUGCAUUUCGAUCUUUUUUCCUUCUGAGCGCUUCUGAGUUAAGCCUGUUCUUAAGGGCAUUUGUUAAACCAUGCCACUUAGGAGCUUGCAGAUAUUUCCUGGGCCAUUUUAAAGUGUGACCAGUUAUCAAGCUUUGUACUAAAGUCCUAUGUGCAUUUUCUGAGUAACAGUGUUUCUUUUUCCCCAUCCCCCUUGUUGCUUAUUCCUUCCUUGUGUUUUUGUCCAACUCGUGGUAGUAUUUACUGAAAUGUAGGAAGAAAAUCUCUGGGUUUCGCUCAAGCCCUGCACAUUAUGAGUUGGCCCUCAAGAAGGGAGGUUCCCCUUGCAGCUCCAGCACUGACAGAGCAGUGGAAGAGAGGGGGUGCAUGGCUAGGGGAGUUGAUGGAGAAAGUGGAAAUGCCCUUACCCUCUGUCAGGAAGAGAACAAUACUGAACCCUGUGCUGGAGCACACCAGUCCUUCUGCUGUACCACUGCUGAAGCACUUGGAUGCAGAAUUUACCCCAUUCUUGAGUUUAACACACAUGGUUUUUGCAGGAAAGAAAGAAAAGUGAUGGAGGGUGUUUUAGGAAAAUCUGUUUACUUACGGAAACUUAUCUGACUGAGCCUUGGGGAAAGGGAGGACACCUCACAUCAGCAAGCACCAUUUUCUGCCUUGUACACACACACACACACGUAUGCUCAUAUGCACAGACCAGUUGUUACCAGUUCUGAUUACUCACAACACAAUCCAUGGUUAGGAGACCACAGUGUCAAACUGGAAGACGCUGUGUGUUGCUGUGAGUAUAAUGGCUUGCCUAGAAGAGCAAGUCAAGUUUUCAAAAAAAAAUCACUGAUGUAGGGUCUCAAACUUGAUUUUCUGAAGUUGUGGGCUUCAAAAAAUGAGGAUCUUCACAGCCAUAUUAAAUCUUGACUAUCAAAAACAUGGAGUCAACUUUUUGCAUUCUAUUAUUACUACUGCUAUUAGCAGUAAAAGCAGAGAAACAUGUGAAACAAUAUAAGAGCAGUACUGCAUUAUGAGUGGAUAGUAAAUGUAAUUGUUUAUUAGAUAAUGUUUAUUAAUAUUGCUUUCAAUUAUUAAACUGAUUCAAGAAGUCACUCACCACUAAGAAUAUCCAUGAGUGUUUUUUCAAAUGCUUUUGUGAACUGAUUCGGUAACAAAGGAAAUUGAUUAGAUCUUAAAGUAAACACCAUAGAUGUCUUCAGGCAUUAGUAAGUUAAAUAUAGUGGAAGCACUUUUACUUAGGUGAAAGAAGCAAUAGAAGAAAACUUAGAAUUAAGUAUUUUGAAAGAUUUUUUUCUUCUAUAAAUUCUGUAUUUUAAAGCUUCUUGCUUCUCUAGGUCCCUUUGUUUUAGUAGAUGUGUUGUAAAGGUAUGUGCCUAUAUAAAUAUAUAUCACAAACACAUCUAUCACCUAUCUAUCUAUCUAUCUAUCUAUCUGUCUGUCUAUCUAUCUGUCUAUCCAUCUAUACUGUAUGCACAUGAUGUCCAAAUGUAACACUUGGGAACAAAUAAGCAUGUAUCCUGCCAACAUGCUGUUGUACCUUGAAGAGUUGGUGCCUGACAGGAAUAUUUGGCUAUAUAAUGGUACUUCCCAAUAGCAUGCUUCACCAGGUUUUUAAAGUCUCCCCUUUCUGAACCUCUUUCACACCGACUAAUAAUGAAAAAAGGGAAAAAGUAAUAAACUAAGGAGUUUAUGUCAAUGCUAAAGUGUACUGGCAGAGUUCUUAAUAUGAAUUUCCAGAUUUUCUCAUUAUGCCCACCUAAUACCCAAGGCUGUUCUUAGAAGUUUAUUAGCAGCUCUGAUUCUUAUGGACCUCUUAAGAUAUCUACCCAUAUAAAAUUUAGAAAAUGUGUCACUUUGGACUGUUGCCCCUAUAUUAGAUUAUGCCAAUAAAGUAGUCCCUACUGCCUCUAC